rnacentral:lncRNA from 1 species
AGGAGGUAGUGGCAAAUAUCAAUCAGUGGUCGUACAUUGCUAAAUUUGCAGUGGUAGUGGUAGUGGCAGCAUGUCUCCCUGGGUAGGUAUACUUCUUUUAUGAGUCCAGGAGGUAGUGGCAAAUAUCAAUCAGUGGUCGUACAUUGCUAAAUUUGCAGUGUCCAUGAUUUUCCUCCAUGUUCACCAGUUAAACCGUCUCGAACUGUAACUCGCAAUUAUAAUUUCCGUUCCUCGGUAGGGAUUAAUG